GGACUGAGACACGGCCCAGACUCCUACGGGAGGCAGCAGUGGGGAAUAUUGCACAAUGGGGGAAACCCUGAUGCAGCGACGCCGCGUGGAGGAAGAAGGUCUUCGGAUUGUAAACUCCUGUUGUUGAGGAAGAUAAUGACGGUACUCAACAAGGAAGUGACGGCUAACUACGUGCCAGCAGCCGCGGUAAAACGUAGGUCACAAGCGUUGUCCGGAAUUACUGGGUGUAAAGGGAGCGCAGGCGGGAAGACAAGUUGGAAGUGAAAUCCAUGGGCUCAACCCAUGAACUGCUUUCAAAACUGUUUUUCUUGAGUAGUGCAGAGGUAGGCGGAAUUCCCGGUGUAGCGGUGGAAUGCGUAGAUAUCGGGAGGAACACCAGUGGCGAAGGCGGCCUACUGGGCACCAACUGACGCUGAGGCUCGAAAGUGUGGGUAGCAAACAGGAUUAGAUACCCUGGUAGUCCACACCGUAAACGAUGAUUACUAGGUGUUGGAGGAUUGACCCCUUCAGUGCCGCAGUUAACACAAUAAGUAAUCCACCUGGGGAGUACGACCGCAAGGUUGAAACUCAAAGGAAUUGACGGGGGCCCGCACAAGCAGUGGAGUAUGUGGUUUAAUUCGACGCAACGCGAAGAACCUUACCAAGUCUUGACAUCCUGCGACGGACAUAGAAAUAUGUCUUUCCUUCGGGACGCAGAGACAGGUGGUGCAUGGUUGUCGUCAGCUCGUGUCGUGAGAUGUUGGGUUAAGUCCCGCAACGAGCGCAACCCUUAUGGUCAGUUACUACGCAAGAGGACUCUGGCCAGACUGCCGUUGACAAAACGGAGGAAGGUGGGGAUGACGUCAAAUCAUCAUGCCCUUUAUGACUUGGGCUACACACGUACUACAAUGGCGUUAAACAAAGAGAAGCAAGACCGCGAGGUGGAGCAAAACUCAGAAACAACGUCCCAGUUCGGACUGCAGGCUGCAACUCGCCUGCACGAAGUCGGAAUUGCUAGUAAUCGUGGAUCAGCAUGCCACGGUGAAUACGUUCCCGGGCCUUGUACACACCGCCCGUCACACCAUGAGAGCCGGGGGGACCCGAAGUCGGUAGUCUAACCGCAAGGAGGACGCCGCCGAAGGUAAAACUGGUGAUUGGGGUGAAGUCGUAACAAGGUAGCCGUAGGAGAACCUGCGGCUG
rnacentral:rRNA from 1 species